AACGAACGCUGGCGGCAUGCCUAACACAUGCAAGUCGAACGAGACCUCCGGGUCUAGUGGCGCACGGGUGCGUAACGCGUGGUAACCUGCCCUUAGGUUCGCAAUAACUCCCCGAAAGGGGUGCUAAUACCGGUUAAUGUCUUCGGACCAAAGAUCUAUCGCCUUUGGAUGGGCGCGCGUUGGAUUAGCCAGUUGGUAGGGUACAAGCCUACCAAGGCGACGAUCCAUAGCUGGUCGGAGAGGAUGAUCAGCCAGGCUGGGACUGAGGCACGGCCCAGAAUCCUACGGGAAGGAGCAGUAGGGAAUACUGGGCGAGGGACGAAAGCCUGAUCCAGCAGUGCCGCGUGAGUGAUGAAGGCGUUAGGGUUGUAAAGCUCUUUUACCCGGGAUGAUAAUGACAGUACCGGGAGAAUAAGCACCGGCUAACUCCGUG
rnacentral:rRNA from 1 species